rnacentral:rRNA from 1 species
AAUGAACGCUGGCGGCAGGCCUAACACAUGCAAGUCGAACGCCCCGCAAGGGGAGUGGCGCACGGGUGAGUAACGCGUGGGAAUAUGCCCUUCGGUUCGGAAUAACACAGGGAAACUUGUGCUAAUACCGGAUACGAUCUACGGAUGAAAGAUUUAUCGCCGAGGGAGUAGCCCGCGUAGGAUUAGCUAGUUGGUGAGGUAAUGGCUCACCAAGGCGACGAGCCUCAGCUGGUCUGAGAGGAUGAUCAGCCACACUGGGACUGAGACACGGCCCAGACUCCUGCGGGAGGCAGCAGUGGGGAAGAUUGGACAAUGGGCGGAAGCCUGAUCCAGCCAUGCCGCGUGAGUGAUGAAGGCCUUAGGGUUGUAAAGCUCUUUCGCCAGGGAAGAUAAUGACGGUACCUGGAAAAGAAGCCUCGGCUAACUCCGUGCCAGCCGCCGCCGUAAAAC